CGUGUAGGCGGGAAUACAAGUCAGAUGUGAAAUCCCGGGGCCCAACCCCGGAACUGCAUUCGAAACUGCCUGGCUAGAGUCCCGGAGAGGAAGGCGGAAUUCCCGGUGUAGAGGUGAAAUUCGUAGAUAUCGGGAGGAACACCAGUGGCGAAGGCGGCCUUCUGGACGGUGACUGACGCUGAGACGCGAAAGCGUGGGGAGCAAACAGGAUUAGAUACCCUGGUAGUCC
rnacentral:rRNA from 1 species